GGCGAGGGUCGGGUGACGCUGCCCAGAUCCAUGGUUGUUCAGCUUGAAGAGGCCAUCAGCAGUGACGCACGGGAGGGGCUAACCGGGCUGGAUGCUCAGGACUAUUCCCCUCUUCUCGGGGAG
rnacentral:sRNA from 1 species